rnacentral:lncRNA from 1 species
UUUAGAUGGCUUGGUGUACAAUCUAACAGAUUCUUUAAUAUUUCAUUACAUUCUUUCAAGACCACAUACUCACAGGCAUUUUAUGACUUUCAAAGGCCCUAAGUGCACAUUUCUGGAGGUUCUACCCCACACCACAUCAAACAUAUUUAAAUAUACCCACAUCCCACAUCAAAUAUAAAUUUUUGCUGUAAAAAUUGAGGGGAUUUUUAUGAUUUUGCUUUUAAAAUAAUUUGGCUCUGAGUAACUAACCUGCAAAUAGCUUUUAAGUGUAAAGACAUUUUUAUGAAUAUUAAAUUUAACAAUUAAUGAAGGUGACAUAAUGCUAUACUUCAUAGGCAUUUACAUAAACACAUUCAUUUUGAUUUUGCUGCUUUCUUUUUUCAUUUUGAAGUCAAUAGUUUCCUUUUUCAUGCCUCAUAUUUUUCUUAGGGCUUUGAGAAGCUUGUAAUCCCUAGAGGAGAUGACUACAGUACCCAAGGGGUGCAAUAACCCUGUGUACACGACCCCUUGCUGGAUGCCUGGGUUUACUCUUGAGGUCACUAUGGGAUGACUUCUGAUAUUCACAGUAGCAAACUGAUCAGUUCUUGCAGCAAUACGGCAGAUACCAGUGCUUCAACCAGAGGAACUGCCAACUCUAGAGCAAGUUAAUGCCACCCAACAUCAAGGAUAUCUACAUUGGUGUUUUCUCCUUGUGGGAGAGAAUGCUGUGGUCUUCCACUAUCAUUUUUUUCUUAUUGAAAAUCUUAAAUUUUUAGCUAGACUUAUUGCCAUCCAGUGAAAAGAUCCUACUUCCCAGUAGUCCUUGCAGCUACAAGCAGCUGUGAAAGUGUGAUGGUUGGAGCUCCAGCAGCCCUCCUAGACCAUGAGCUGGCCUUGAGAAUGGAAGUCACCUACUGAGAAUGACACAGUCUUGCUCCAUAAUGACACCAAGGAACCACCACACAAGUUUGUUUAAGCUGCUUUCAUUUGGGGUCUUUAUAUGUAGUUGAAACUUACACUGAUACACACUUGUUGCUGUAAAAAGUCCUGGUUCCAAAGCACCUAGAAACCAUACAGCAAAAGCACUGUGAAGCUGUUCACUCUCCAUGAACGUCCUUUCACCCUGUACCCAGACAGAGGUUCAUGAAAUUGAGUGGCACUGAGCAAUAGAUGAGUCACUCUGCUAGGAGCUCCCCCUUCUCAUAUCGCCCCAUGGACCACUCACCACUUUAUGCAUCUCACCCAUUCUUUCCUUGGGGUGAUUCACUUCCCAAUAGGCUCCUCUGCCUCCCAUCAAAAUAGAUCUCUAGUGGACGAGCCUCAGUAUUCAUUUGGCUAUGAUUUAAUUUUGGGGUGAAUACUCUUCAUGAUAAAGCUGCAAGUUUUGCUAUACUCUUUCCCCUGUAAAGUACAUGCAGAUCCUACCUAAUUUCUGGCCUUCAUUCAAGAUGCCUUUCUUAGAAAGACCAGGAGAGGGUUAGACUUCUUGCGGGCAUGCUGGUCUUCAGCUGGAAUCCCAAGGCACAGAGCGCUCACGUCAUAAUGAAGGGUAUGACCACAUGUGUGGCACUUUCUUCUGUUGUGAUCAGGCAGGUUUGACCUUGGGUUAGUAAGUCCCCCUCUGUAGUAACUGUGAUAGUUAGAUAUUUGCUCAACAUGUAAUUUCUCCUCCACCUUUGUGAGAGGAAUAUAGCCUCCCACCCCCUUGAUGUGAAGCUUGGCGAUGGGACUUGUUUGACCAACAGAAUCUGGGUAGCAAGGAGCGAGGUCCAAGUGUUAAGAUGAGAUACCUUAAUACUUUUCUGCUUGGCCCUCUGGGAGCAUUCAACUUACAUGAUAAGAACAUUCUGAGCUCCAGAAUAAGAUGCAUGGGGCAGAAUUUCUUCAGUUGACCUACAGACCUAGGGUCUGAAGCAAGGGCACUCUAGCUAAUCUACAGACCGGCAGCUUGAAAAUAGGUGCAACUCCAAAUAAACGUAAUAAAUAUAUACUCUUCCCUUACAACAGCUCUAGUUCCACUAGUUGUACCAAUCAGUGACUCCUGUUUUCAGCUACUACAUUUGUGGGGGUUUGGACGUAGCAUGAUUUCAGGAAAAGCUUAGCCAAUACAGUGAGAAAUCUCUUUUAUGCCUUAUAACAGCUCUCAAGUCCUUGGGUGGAAAGACACCUUCAAAAUCCACGGAUGUGAAUUCAGACUUGUAAAUACAGACAGAACAGGCCCCACCCUUUCUCUGGCAUUCUCUGUCUCUUGGUUUCUCUCUUUCCUGAAUGCGAAAAGGGGUGGCUCCAAAACACACCCAGAGAAGAGUCUCUUUCCUCUGAUUUGCUGCUGUCUCCUUCCAAGACCCAGUGCUCUCACGUUCUCUCAGCAGCAGUAGAUUCUUUUCAAACCACCCUCCAAAAUGCAGCCAGAGUUGUCUUCUGAGAACAACCAAAACACAGCCAGAGUUGUCUUCAGAGUGGUUCCUGAGACCAUCCUGUCUGAUCAUGUCAGUCGUAUGCUUGCAAUCCUUCAGUGUCUCUCCACAAGUAUUUAGUGAAAGUUUCCAUGUCUUAAGGCACAAAGCUCUUCAUGACCUAGGGCUUGCCAGCUCUUACUACUGUUCUCCUUACCCACCAGCCCCUCCAAUUCCAGAUCUUGCCAGCUCUUACUACUGUUAGGUCUUGCCAGCUUGGUCUUGCCAGCUCUUACUACUGUUCCCCUCAUUCACCAGCCCCUCCUAUUCCAGAGAGCUCCUCACACUUUCCAGAAGGCAUCAUGCUGCUCUCUGUCUCCACACUGGUGCACAUGCCAUUUCCAUGGCUUGGACACCCUUCCCUUAUUCCCUGGGGUGUGACUGUCUCAAGGUGACAGUGAUAUGAUUGAUGGAAAGAUGCCAAUAGCCACAGGAAAAGGAAACAUGUUCCUUUAAUAUGAAGUAGAAGAUACAACUACACACAGACCAACUCAUAAAGCCACGGGUACAGAAGCAGGCACAGUCUAAGAGAGUGUUAGUUAGGAUAUACUUUAGCAGCUGUAGCAGAGAGAGCUGAAUUCCUAAUGCAUCCAUCAGAACCCAGCUCAAGCCUCCCUAAAGCCUUCUUUGGUUUGCUCUGUGGCUCACUGCCCAAGGCCUGAUUUAGAAGCCCAUUACCUGGGCUCUUCAGGGGCCUAUCACUUAUCGUGGCACUGGUCUAACCAGGUUCAAAAGCCGUUCUGGGAUCUCCAUGUUGCAGGUGCUCAAUGCUUACUUAGUGAGCACCUGGGCUACUUGAGAUGGGCAUGGGAAACGUAGCAACAUGCUUGGCUGAUGUGUGCUGUGACCUGGAGAACAGGUGCUUUCCAUAGACUUAGAACUGUGCUCUUUAAACUGCCUCCCUGCCUCUGGGCUUCUCUCCAUAAUGCAGCCAAAGCGAUUUUCUACUGCACAGAGUUGGCCGUGCCACUCUCCUUAAAACCUUCCAAGAGCCCUCACUGCUCUGAGGCCAGCAGCUGAACCCUUCAACAUGGCUCACAAACAAAGGUUGCCAUAUUUAACAAAUAGAAAUCUAGGACACCCAUUUAUAUUUGAAUUGCAGAUAAACAUCAAUUCUUUUAGCAUAAGUAUAUCUCAUGCAAUAUUUGAGAUAUACUUAUAUUAAAAACAAACUUGUUGCUUAUAUGAAAUUCAAACUGAGUAUCUCGAAUUUUAUUGGCAACCCUGUUUACUUUGUCUAUGUCCCUGCUUUUUUCUGCAGCAUCCUCUCUCCCUAAGCAUCUGCCUCAGACCUACUAAACCUCUUUCUUCCUCUGGACUUUCUAUCAUGGCGCUUCUGUGAGAAUUAAAUGACUUAACACAUGUCAAGUGCUUAGAACAGUCCCUGUCCUAAGGGACUUACCUGGCUCAUGGUGGAAGACAUUGAAGUUUCACUGUGAUUGUUGUUGCCCACUCCGACGGGCACACCCGCCCCAAUCCCACUGCUCCACUUGGCCAGAUUAACUCUUACCCAUUCUAUAGCAAAGUGGUAAUCUCAGAUUAUCAGCCUCUUCUUUGGGACUCCUUUUCCAAUUGUUCCUUGAAUGAGAUUGGAAGUCCUUGGUGUAUACUCCCAAAUGCCUUGUACUUCCCCUACAACAGCUCUUACCUCACUUGGUCAUGUUUUCUUAGUCAGCUUUCCUACUAGACCAUAAUGUCUGCAGAGAAAGGAAUCUCUAUAUUGCUCAUGUAUCUGCCCUCCGUGCCCUGCAGAGUGCCUGGGAAAAGAGGUGGUAUUUAGUAUAUACUGAAUGAAUGAACAGCACCCCACAGCCCUCUAUUUUUUAGGAGCUGGUUUCCUAAAUAACUCAACCUCUUUGUGGUCAAGGUCAAGGGAGAUUCUAACACUGCCCAGCUGAAGUGCCCAUUCCACUUGGGGUGCUCAGUCCUGGUUCUGAGAAAGGAGGCAGACAAGCACUGUUUCUGUUUCAGUUCUGCCUUACCACCUGCAAACCAUGUGUAUGGUAUCAAGCAGUUUGCUUCUCUCCCCUGAAUUCCGGUGUCCUUAUCUGAGAUCUGGAGUCAAUAAAAUCCAUCUGGACAGGCUUUGGGGGAGAAUUAACUAUGAGGUGAUGCUAUGCUUGCAAAAAGACCCGGCACAUAGCAGGGACCAGACAAACAUGAGUCCCUGCUAUGGGCUAACUAGGGCCUCCUUCAGAGAAAAUAAAAAGUUCGGAAUCAUGUGACCAAUAUCUGGUCAGUUUGCAUGAGGCAGUGUAUUUCAGAUCAGAAUCAGGAAACCCUACACUUUAAAGAUGAGAGGGGAAAAAUGUGAAAGGAGAGAGGCCACGUCUGCAGACUUGAGAGAGAGAAAAAAGGGGCUGGAAGCAGCAGAUCAAUCAUCAAGGUGAAAACUUAAAAGACAAUUGAUUUUCCUCCUUGAUGUCCACGUUUCAAGGACCUUGUUGGGCUCCUCCUGGGAAAUCGACUUUGAGGCUCAUCUGCCAUGGAAAGACAUUUCCUCUGAGCUCUGUUUCCAGUGACUCCCAGGAUCCGGGCAGGGAGCAAACAGCAGGGUCUCUGGAGAUCAGCAGCUUGACCUCAGGGCCAUCCUGGCUCUCUUUCCCCAUAGCCCAGAGAGUGUCCAGAGUGCUGCACCUGGAGUCACUGCCCCUGAAUUCAACCCACUUGCCCUGGCUGUGUGGCCUUACAAGAGCCAAUUCACCUGCCUGACUGACAAUUGCUAGAAAAGCUUCAGGGUCUUGAUGGUCAGAGAUAAAUGGACAGGAUAGGGAGGAGCCAGAUGAUAGGAAUAAGAUGUGCCUUUGGGGAGCUGGGGAGGCAAUGUUUUCCAGGGUGGAGUUCAAGAAACAAGCAAGGUAAGAGGAGUGGAGCCAGGCAAGGCAUAAGGAAAGAGUGGACAAGAUAGAAAGGUCCGCAGUGCUUGCCGGGAGCUGGGUAAGGCACCUAUGUGGGGCAGGGUGCGAAUCUGGUUAAAAGCCCAGGGUCAAGGUUGACCUCUGUAGCUCUAACCUUGUAAAGAUGGCAUGAGGAUUACAUGUGGUAAUGGAUGGAAAGCCCCUGUCACAUAGGGCUUGAUGAAUGGGCUGAGUCAGAAGGAGAAUAUGAAUCAGGCGAAGGACAAAAUAAUCCAAUCCAGUUCCUCUUCCCUGUCCACACAGCACCUGCAAGCAGCACCUAACCCUGUUUCCUAGCCCCAGGUGCCCUGUCUAUGGGCACCUCUCAGCUCAGCCUCUGGGGAUGCCCUCCUGGCCCUGGGGUCUUGUGUGUUCUCCCAAAGGGACUGAGCUACUCCAGAGUAGUCCGCCCAGGUUCUACUUCCUUACUGCCCCUGCCCAAGUCUGGUCGGGUCCAUAAUCUUGUCCCGUACACCAGAACUGGCCUCCUCUGUGACCCACCAGGUGACCCAGAAGCUCACAAGCCUGUACCCUUCUCAAAGGGCCUAAUCGUGGAGGUUUACCUGCCCCUCCCCAUCCCAACCCCACCUGGCCAUGACCUUCAUUCAGGCCUUACCACUGACCCCUAGACUUGGCUGCAGCCUCCUCACAGGCCUCCCCAACCCCAGACCCUCCCUCUCCGGAGUCCCUUCUUUUCAUAAGCACCUGAGAAGUCUUUCUAAAACAUAAGUAAAAUUUUAUCACUCUCCUGCUUACAGAAACAGAAACAAAGAACAAAAAUAUUUUUCUUUUGUUUCCCAUCACCUACACAGGAAUGCUUUUAGUUGUUAGUGUAGGAUUUUUGUUUUGUUUGUUUGGAGCUCUUUUGUGGACCCGGCGUGCAAAAGGUCAAGUUAAUCAAGGUCAAAUAAUCCUUGGUCUGUGGGGGACUAAUGUCAGGAUCUUUCUGAUUGAUGUGUAUUCUCUUUUGUCACUAUUCUCCCUAUUAUAGGCAGCCACACACACAUGUUGUAUGGGUAUCCUUGAGCUUGCAUGAACCUUUGGAAAAUAAGAAUUGUUUUCAUCUGCAUAAGCAAUAGUGUAUUAAGACCUUGACGUGUUUCUUAUUUUUUCAUUCACUGUGUUAAAUUCUGUUCAUGUUGGUGCACAUACACUUAGUUCCAUCACUUCCACUGCCUUGCACGGACACUAAGCUCACCUCCAGCUCUCUCCCUGACAAAUCGCAUGUGCCAUGCAUAUUAUUGUACAUGUCCCCUUUGGAUUGGUGUGAGAAUUUCCAUGUGGGAUUGCAGGUUCAUAGGGCAUAUACUUCUCUGCAGUGUCGCUGCACCAGUCCCCACCCCACCAGCCCAAACUCCAGCACCUUCUACUCCCUCACUGCCUCUCCAGCCCCAUUUUCUGCCACCCCCACCUGAAGUUCCCAUUAACUGACAUGCUCACUAAUUCAAUGAAGGUGAGUGUUUUUGAAAGCCAUCUAGCCCAAUCCUCUUGUUUUACAGACUAGGACUCUAGGGCCCAGAGAGGGGACAUGAGUGGCCCAACUUCCCAAAGCUUAGAAAGGCUUACGUAGGGGAGCCUCUGUCUCUUCAUAAACGCUACUCAAAAGCAAAAGUUUUCUUCCACUUUUCAGAAGCAGAAAAUAGAGUUCCAGAGACACAAAGUUAGAAACUUUGGGUCUCAUGGAACAUUAGAAGGAAAGGGGAAAAUUGUGGCUCAUUUAUCCCUGAAAUUGCCUUCUUCCCUGAUGUGUAAGGUUAAGCAAGGGCUGCAUGCACCUACAGGGUAAGCAAGGGCUGGAUGCUAGUGUCAGAGGAAUCUGGGGGGUUGUGCUGCAUUUGGGCUCACUUCAUGUCAUGUACAGCAGCAACAUCCAGGGUCAGAUGGCCCACACCACUGCACUCACCUGGCCCCAGUACCAGCCUCUGAGGCCUGGGUGAUCUGAUGGGCCUUUCGUCAGCCUGAUCUUUGUGAGGAUUCAGCUAGGGAUAGCAUAUUUAGAGCAAAGUUUGUCUCCAUGUAGUCGUGAAUUAUCCCCACAAAUCAAAGCUGGUUUGGGAAACCCAAGGCAAAACUUAAGUCAGGUUAAGCUUAUAAAAUUGUUUGGGGACAACAGUAAUAUAAAUGAGCAGGCUCUUUAAUACAUUUAAAAUGAAGUCAUUGCAUUUUUCAUGGGGUUUUCAUUUCCUGUUCCCCCUCUGCCUCCAGGGCAUCAAUCCCACACUGAGAAAAUGUUUGGGAAGCAGAGGCUAGAGUGGAGAAGAAAGUGAUAUUGUGGCUGGCUUCCCCAGGGCGCCUCUUCAGUCAGAUCUACCCACAGGGGCCCCUACAGUGGUCCCCACACUGAGUAAAAAAAGAGAAUUACCCAUUUGGACUCAGGACCACUGGGUGCCCACCGUCUUGCACACCUAGACUGUAUCACUUUCCAGCUUCUGCAAGGAGAGCCAGGGCAUUUGUCUCCUGUGCGGCCCAUACUUUAUGCAAGAGCAACCACAUUCCACCUCCACACCUCCACCUCCCCUUAGCUCCCCAAAUCCACUCACAAGUUACAAUUUAAUAGGCAGAUCUAAUCUCACCAAGAUUCCAAAGUAUUCCAGUCAAUGCAUCCCAACUCUGCUUGUCUCUGCCUGUCCACAGCCUCCUCUUCUUCCUCCUCCCAAGCUGUGCCACAGCAGAGACCUGUCAGAGAGGAAUCAGAGGUUCUCCCCUGUUUAGCUUUGGCUUGUUUCAUUGGAAUUCUCAAUGGAAGAAUGCAAAGUCUUUUUAUAGUCUCCAAUAAAAUGUAGAGGCUAACGGUUGACAGCAUGGCCUUUGGAGCCAGGAAGCCCAGAUUUUUUGUCAGCUGUGUGAAUUUGGGCAAGUUAUUUAACCUCUCUGUGCCUAGAUUCCCCAACUAACAAAAUGGGAGUACUAAUACAUACCUACCUAUUAGCAGUACUUCCCUCACAGGCUUGAUUGUGGGAUUUAAAUAUGUUAAUGCCAAUGGUAAUAUGAUAAGAACAUGCUUGGCUUGUGGGAAGUGUGAGGUUAAGUGUUAGCUACAAUGAGGAUGAUUGAUGAGGAGGAGGAUGAGCAGACACAGACGGCAAAGAAAGAUGUAAAUUGGUUGAAUUGCCAAGCUCUGUACCAUCUUCCCCACAUUAUUCUUGGAGCUCAGAGAUUCUACACAUGUGCAAAAGAGCCUCCAGAGAACCAGUACUAACCUGGCCAGAGUGAAGUAAUUUCCCUGCUGAGGUUGAUGAUGGAUAGAUAUUCUAGACAUAUUGGAGGGUGGCACUCAUGAGCAGAUAUCUGAUACCAGACUGUUGCCAAGAUGGCUGGGGCUUUGCCUUCUUAGGACAGAGAAUUAGCACCCUCCACCCCGCAAGGUGCUCUAGUCUCCUGCUACUCAAAGUGUGGUCCAAGGAUGAAGGACAUGAGUUUCCUCUGGAAGUUUCUCCAAUAUGCAGAACCUCAGAUCUGUCCCAGGUCUGCUUAAUCAAAAUCUGCAUUUUAAUAAGAGCCCCAGGCGAUUUCUGUGUACACUAAAAUUUGAAAACUGCUCUUGUCAUCCAAACGCAGGGGAGUGGAUGUGGUGACCUUCCCUUUCUGCCCCCACUGGACUGCAUGAGCCACAUAUGGAGGGACGGUGUCUGUUUCAUUACUCACCUUGUCCUCAGAAUUGAGCUUCCUUCCUAUCACACAGGGAGCACUUGUAAAUUCUUGGCAGUAGAUGGAUGCAUGAGAAACUGAAUAGGUGAAUGAGUGAGUGCAUGACCGUGGGCUCAGAAGCCCAGUGUCUUGGUUUCAGGUCCUUGGUGAAUAGUGCCGGCAUAUCCCAGCAGAAGGCAAAAUUGGUGGACCAGACUAACACCUCUGCAGCACCGAAUUCACUGCCAAGAUUGAGCAAGACUGGCUUGAGAGACUUGAGACUUUCAGUAGUGUGCAGCAGGGUAGAGCUAGGUCAUGCAGGAACUGACCUUGUGUCUACCACAUGUCCCUGCUCUCAAUACUCAAGUGGCCCUGGCAAAGAAGGAAAUCAGGUCAGUCUGACAUGACUUAUUCUAAAUGCACCCAGGCAGACCAGCAGUGAGCCUCGCAUCCUUGUCUGGGCACUCACAGUCCAGUCCCUACAGACACCGGAUACCCUUUUCUGGGUUGAGAUAAUGGCUUAUAGAACUUGCCCCCUAUGAUGACUGAAAAUGUGAAUGACAUUUACCUGUUUCCAGACUUCCAGUCACUUCCAGACUUGCAUGAUUCCUUAAAUAUCAACAAACUGUGGCUUGGUAACCAUCUUUGCGAGUGUUUUAAUAACUCUAGUAUGUGGCUUGUCUGGGCCAAUGGGCAAGGGACAAACAGGGUAGCUCAGUGUUUGAUUGUGACACCCUCUUCUCCUCUUUUGGAUGUCUUUUAUCCCUACUAAUCUUUAUUCCAACCAGCACAGUCUAAAGAUUAUGCUAAAGAUCUGCCCAAAGAUAUUAGGGGCUGUUUGUAAUCACCUCAAAGUCUUAGAAGAUCUAUGGGCAGCUCAGAGAGACCUGCGCUCUUCAGAUAUUUCUUUGUCUUACUCCCAGCCAGCCGUUCCUCCUGUGAUCACUCAACUACAGAUCUUUAAGAAUGGAGCAAAAUGGGAUGUGCUCAAGAUUUCAUGACAAACAGAGCAGGGCUUGGAUCCCAGCUGGUGAGGGGCAGACAGCAGGGGAGAGCAGCUGGACACAAGGGGAUUCACUUGUGAAAUGUGAGAGUCCUCCUUUCCUCUUACCUUCCAUCCUGCCCUGCAGGUCUCCCCUGCACUGCCUUGAAGCAAACCAUUCUUGCUCUGCCUUUGCCCAUGUGAGCUGGUAAGGGUGGCAGACAGGGUGGUUGCCAACCCUCAAUAUCUGUUCCCACCCCUGCUUCCCUCCUUUUCAGUGGAACCCCUAUUUUGUUGGAUAUCCACCUUCCCCAACUUGCCCAUGUGCCUUGGAGGAAGUGGACACAACCCUGAGUGGUGCAUCCUGAUGAGUCUAAACUAAUCCCAUCCCCAUUGUCAAUGACUGGGAAUCAACUCUGGACAGUAAUCUGGGAGGAACAUCUGCAGGAUUGCUUCUAAGAGAGAUCUACCCGCUCUUAAAAGCAUACCCAGAGAAGAGAAGGUGCUGUCUUUUUCUCAGUGUCAACAAGUCUAGAUACGAUGGCUGGAAAUGGCUGUAGAGCUAUGGGGAAAAUCAGACUUCAGAUGAAGCCAAGAUAUCCUGGAUGGCAGAGAGAAAAUAUAAAAAAAGCCUAGGUCCUCCUCGAUGCCAUCGGUGGGCUUUUAAAUUAAUCAACCCAGAGCUUGCCUGCCUCUGGCCUGAUUGUAAUAUGAGGUAAUAAAUCUUAUUGUCUGGGCUUGUAAAGUUGGGUUUGCUAUAGCCAAAAGGGAAAAAGCAAAGUGUGUGAUUACAUGUAGAAAACUCAGGAGGAGCUGGGAUGUUUCUGUCUCCUUUGUGGUGAUUGAACUAAAGAGGAGUCUAGUCCUCAGUCUGAGGCUUUAGCCUCCUAUAAACACACACACACAUGCUUCACGGACACACACACACACAUGCAUGUCAACAGCCACCAAGAAAUGGAAGCAAUUAUGUGAAUAUUCCUAAGAGAAGAGCCUAGUUAUGUUUAAAGCUUAAAGUACAAGCGCCCAGUUUUGUUCAGGUCAGGGAAAUGAAGCACCACCCAGUGGGACUGGGUGAGAACAAGCCAAUUAAAUUGUGACAUUUUAUUAGUAUCUUGUCCUUGAGCUCAUGGCCUAAUUGUUGCAAGUUUGUCCAGGAGAGGACUUCUGAAACCAUAAUUCUGUUGCUAAAACUCAAACUCAUAAUUUUCAUGCUAAAUUGUCCUUCUUCUAUUCAGAGCCCAUUAUAUAAUUCAAGAGAUACAGCCUGAUGUGUAAAGUUCUUGUGAAGAUGAAGAUGAUGGAGCCAAGCCUGCUGGGUUGAGCCUUGCCCAGGCCAACCUGCUAUGGCCCAGGGGUCACCCUCUCAUCCACCCCUCUUCAGCCUUGCAAAAGCCACAACCUUGCACCUUGUCUCAG